UGGGGAAUCGUCUAACGGUAGGACCCCAGACUCUGACUCUGGUUGUCUAGGUUCGAAUCCUAGUUCCCCAACCA
rnacentral:tRNA from 1 species